rnacentral:rRNA from 1 species
GCCCUUAGAGUUUGAUCCUGGCUCAGAACGAACGCUGGCGGCAGGCUUAACACAUGCAAGUCGUACGAAGCCUUCGGGCUUAGUGGCGGACGGGUGAGUAACGCGUGGGAACGUGCCCCUUGGUACGGAAUAGUCCCUGGAAACGGGGUUUAAUACCGUAUGACCUCUAAGGAGGAAAGAUUUAUCGCCGAGGGAUCGGCCCGCGUUGGAUUAGGUAGUUGGUGGGGUAAUGGCCUACCAAGCCGACGAUCCAUAGCUGGUUUGAGAGGAUGAUCAGCCACACUGGGACUGAGACACGGCCCAGACUCCUACGGGAGGCAGCAGUGGGGAAUCUUAGACAAUGGGGGAAACCCUGAUCUAGCCAUGCCGCGUGAUCGAUGAAGGCCUUAGGGUUGUAAAGAUCUUUCGCUGGGGAAGAUAAUGACGGUACCCAGUAAAGAAGCCCCGGCUAACUCCGUGCCAGCAGCCGCGGUAAUACGGAGGGGGCUAGCGUUGUUCGGAAUUACUGGGCGUAAAGCGCGCGUAGGCGGGCUGGAAAGUUGGGGGUGAAAUCCCGGGGCUCAACCCCGGAACUGCCUUCAAAACUGUCAGUCUGGAGUUCGAGAGAGGUGAGUGGAAUUGCGAGUGUAGAGGUGAAAUUCGUAGAUAUUCGCAGGAACACCAGUGGCGAAGGCGGCUCACUGGCUCGAUACUGACGCUGAGGUGCGAAAGUGUGGGGAGCAAACAGGAUUAGAUACCCUGGUAGUCCACACCGUAAACGAUGAAUGCCAGACGUCGGGCAGCAUGCUGUACGGUGUCACACCUAACGGAUUAAGCAUUCCGCCUGGGGAGUACGGCCGCAAGGUUAAACUCAAAGGAAUUGACGGGGGCCCGCACAA